rnacentral:misc_RNA from 1 species
GCAUUUUCGGAUCUUUUCCAAUUCCUCUUUCGAGUCAAAAGUUGUUAGAUUGACACCAACACUAGCAGCAUAUUUGAGGUGGGACUCUGCUUUGCAAGGGNNNNNGUAAACGAUCCGCUCUGGAGCAACUCCGAGAGAUAAGAUGCAUUCAAUCUCAACUCGACUAGCACAAUCAAAGUUGCAGCCAAGAGCCGCUAGUGUGCCCAGGAGAGCCGGGUCGGGGUUGCAUUUGACGGCGUAGAAGGGUCGAACCAUGGGUAGUGUACGGGUCCAUUUGUCCAUGAGGGCAGUG